rnacentral:rRNA from 1 species
CGAACGGGUGAGUAAUGCGUGACCAACCUGCCCCAUGCUCCAGAAUAGCUCUUGGAAACGGGUGGUAAUGCUGGAUGCUCCAACUUGACGCAUGUCUUGUUGGGAAAGUGUUUAGUGGCAUGGGAUGGGGUCGCGUCCUAUCAGCUUGUAGGCGGGGUAAUGGCCCACCUAGGCUUCGACGGGUAGCCGGCCUGAGAGGGCGGACGGCCACAUUGGGACUGAGAUACGGCCCAGACUCCUACGGAGGCAGCAGGU